rnacentral:rRNA from 1 species
CCUACGGAGUGCAGCAGUGAGGAAUAUUGGUCAAUGGGCGUAAGCCUGAACCAGCCAAGUCGCGUGAGGGAUGAAGGUUCUAUGGAUCGUAAACCUCUUUUAGAAGGGAAUAAAGUGUGGGACGUGUCCUAUUUUGUAUGUACCUUAUGAAUAAGGAUCGGCUAACUCCGUGCCAGCAGCCGCGGUAAUACGGAGGAUCCGAGCGUUAUCCGGAUUUAUUGGGUUUAAAGGGUGCGGAGGCGGCCUUUUAAGACAGCGGUGAAAGUCUGUGGCUCAACCAUAGAUUUGCCGUUGAAACUGGGGGGCUUGAGUAUGUUUGAGGCAGGCGGAAUGCGUGGUGUAGCGGUGAAAUGCUUAGAUAUCACGCAGAACCCCGAUUGCGAAGGCAGCCUGCCAAGCCAUGACUGACGCUGAUGCACGAAAGCGUGGGGAUCAAACAGGAUUAGAUACCCUUGUAGUC